rnacentral:rRNA from 1 species
UAUAUGGAGAGUUUGAUCCUGGCUCAGAACUAACGCUGGCGGCGUGUCUUAGUCAUGCAAGUCGAACGAGAAAGCGUUCUUCGGAACGUGAGUACAGUGGCGGACGGGUGAGUAACACGUGGGGAACCUGCCCUCAAGCUGGGAACAACCCGCCUAACGGCGGGCUAAUACCGAAUGUGGUUGUCAGUCCGCAUGGUAUGACAACUAAAGGUGGCCUCUCCUUGGAAGCUACCGCUUGUGGAUGGCCCCGCGCUCAAUUAGCUAGUUGGUAGGGUAACGGCCUACCAAGGCGACGAUUGAUAGCCGACCUGAGAGGGUGAUCGGCCACACUGGGAUUGAGAUAAGGCCCAGUCUCCUACGGGAGCCAGCAGUCUAGAAAUUUGGGCAAUGGGCGAAAGCCUGACCCAGCGACGCCGCGUGGGGGAUGAAGCUUCUCGGAGUGUAAACCCCUGUUAGGUGGGACGAAAGCCCGUAUACGAAUAGUAGGCGGGUUUGACGGUACCACCAGAGGAAGCUCCGGCUAACUCCGUGCCAGCAGCCGCGGUAAUACGGGGGGAGCAAGCGUUGUUCGGAGUUAUUGGGCGUAAAGGGCGUACAGGCGGUGGUGUCAGUCAGAUGUGAAAUCCCCCGGCUCAACCGGGGACCUGCAUUUGAUACUGCAUCACUUGAGUACAGGAGAGGAGAGCGGAAUUUUCGGUGUAGCGGUGGAAUGUGUAGAUAUCGAAAAGAACACCAGUGGCGAAGGCGGCUCUCUGGCCUGAUACUGACGCUGACGCGCGAAAGCUAGGGGAGCAAACAGGAUUAGAUACCCUGGUAGUCCUAGCCGUAAACGUUGGGCACUAGGUGUUGGAGGUAUCGACCCCUUCAGUGCCGAAGCUAACGCAUUAAGUGCCCCGCCUGGGGAGUACGGCCGCAAGGCUGAAACUCA